UACGCAGGGUGCUAGCGUUGCUCGGAAUCACUGGGCGUAAAGGGUGCGUAGGCGGGUUUUUACGUCCGAGGUGAAAUCCUGGAGCUCAACUCCAGAACUGCCUUUGAUACUGAAAGUCUUGAGUAUGGGAGAGGUGAGUGGAACUGCGAGUGUAGAGGUGAAAUUCGUAGAUAUUCGCAAGAACACCAGUGGCGAAGGCGGCUCACUGGCCCAGAACUGACGCUGAGGCACGAAAGCGUGGGGAGCAAACAGG
rnacentral:rRNA from 1 species